rnacentral:misc_RNA from 1 species
UCGUACAAUUGAGGUGCAAGGGCUGUCGCUGACCUUCAAAGGUUGUGCACGCCCGAGCACUCUUACACAUCCAUCUUACCCCUUUGUGCAUCACCGCGUGGGCCCCCCUUUGCAGGAGGGCUUGCGUUUUCACAUAAAACUUGAUACAGUGUAGAGUGGUUUUUUUUUUGCGGUCACACGUAAUUAAUA